rnacentral:rRNA from 1 species
AACGAACGCUGGCGGCAUGCCUAACACAUGCAAGUCGAACGAGACCUUCGGGUCUAGUGGCGCACGGGUGCGUAACGCGUGGGAACCUGCCCUUAGGUUCAGAAUAACUCCCUGAAAGGGGUGCUAAUACCGGAUAAUGUCUUCGGACCAAAGAUUUAUCGCCUUUGGAUGGGCCCGCGUUGGAUUAGCUAGUUGGUAGGGUAAAAGCCUACCAAGGCGACGAUCCAUAGCUGGUCUGAGAGGAUGAUCAGCCACACUGGGACUGAGACACGGCCCAGACUCCUACGGGAGGCAGCAGUGGGGAAUAUUGGACAAUGGGCGAAAGCCUGAUCCAGCAAUGCCGCGUGAGUGAUGAAGGCCUUAGGGUUGUAAAGCUCUUUUACCCGGGAUGAUAAUGACAGUACCGGGAGAAUAAGCUCCGGCUAACUCCGUG